rfam:Burkholderia sp. TSV85 TSV85_6, whole genome shotgun sequence.
CAAAAAGCCAGCGCUGACUGGGCGCUGGCCAGGGCAACAAACAGACCGUCGAAAAACCGUGCAGGUGUCGGCCGACGGAGACGCGUUGCGUCUAUAGGACCGGGGAUGGAUUGGUUCAAAAAACUUGAGCCUGCAACCAAUGUGAGCGGAUUCUAGCAGGGUUUUAUAGAUCGUCAACACUAUAGAAAUAGAUUUUCAUAACAAAAAGUAA